ensembl:misc_RNA
UUGAGAGCCUUGGAGACCAAGGUCCCUGUUUAUUCACUGCACAGGCACAGCAUGGGCAGUGACAGAGCAAACUUCCUCCACAUGCUGCCCCAGAGUCCUGCCAAGAAACCCUCGCUCUCCCCAGGAAUGGUCAGCCCUAGAGCUGAAGGGUUGACUCCUUCGUGCCAUAUCAUUCUUGAGCCUUC